rnacentral:rRNA from 1 species
GACGAACCGUGCGAACGUUGUUCGGAUUCACUGGGCUUAAAGGGCGCGUAGGCGGCUUGUCAAGUCAGGGGUGAAAUCUUUCGGCUUAACCGGAAAACAGCCCCUGAUACUGAUAGGCUAGAGGGAGGUAGGGGCAUGUGGAACUCCAGGUGGAGCGGUGAAAUGCGUAGAUAUCUGGAGGAACGCCGGUGGCGAAAGCGACGUGCUGGAUCUCUUCUGACGCUGAGGCGCGAAAGCUAGGGUAGCGAACGGG